ensembl:snoRNA LOC120102080 small nucleolar RNA SNORA40
AACAUUUGUUUGUAUUUUUGUUCAAAGUGUGGGCAAACAUAGAAGAUAAAUGCAAAAAGAAAUCCUCAUUUGCCAUCCACAACUCAUUUUUGAAUAUGUGUUUUGCUACAUUCAUAAAGAACUAUA